AGAUUUGUUUUUGUAUUAAAAACGAAUUUCUAAUAUUAUUUCUCUGUUUUUAAUCUCCUCUGGACUGGGCCUCGAUUUCCAGAGAAGUCAGGGGCCCAGGCGCAAUAAUAACCCAGACACAUAACACUGCAGAGGUGGAUGGCGGGUUGGUUUUAACUAAAUCGAGGGGCCUUUGUGUUAAACUACGCCCGCGAAGGGGUAUGGAAAGGCUUCGGCCGUUGGAUCACCAGUGUGCGGCCCAGAUUAGAUCGCUAUUCGCUACGAAGCGGCAUGGAAUCGGGCCAUCGGAUCAACGUUCAACGGUUAAGAUUAAAAUACACCCGAUCCGAUCCAGUCCAUACGUCGACGAUCCAACGGUCAGGACGAGAUCAGGCCGAGGCGGUGAAUUCUACCUAAUCUACACCGUCCAUCCUCAAUCAGACGGUCGACGGUCAUUUCCUUCAAAUGCUACCGACGGCGGCGGCGCAAUCCCACGCACGGCGGCGCCCCGGACCGGAAGAUCAAUCCGCGCCCUCAGGCGGCCACCACCUAAUUCGGCCUAGCUACAUGAUGUCCUAUAUCCGACGAAUGCAAUGAACGGUCGAGUACCUCACAAUUAGAUGCAGACGAUCCCGUCCACGGCGAGCGGCGGAUCGGUUGAGCUCCGGCGAAGGAUUGCUUGCACUCCGGUGAGUCUACGAUCACAGCGACGCCACACCAGUAUCCCCCACGGAACAACGAAGGCCUAACUCUGAUUUCCGAGGCGAACGCGGCGACGAGGACGAUGUUCACCGGCGGCGCUCUGUCUCCUUUCUUCCCUCACCUGUGGCGGCUAUGGUGGUUUAGGGGUUAGCGACGCGAGAGGCCUAGGAGCUGUCGCAGCGAAGAACGAUCGUGGCCCGAGUCUUAUCACCCUGCACGGUCACCCGCGUCGUGCGUGCGAGAAUCGCGCCAGCGGCACGUCUGCCAUAGUCGCGUUCCAUUGAGAGGAAGGCGCUGACCAAACGGGUCCACGGUCCAGCGUGAUUACUCAGUGUGGGCGUGCGUAGAGCACACGAGACCAACUGGUGGGCCCGAUCAGCAGCUGUGAGCGCGCGGCGAAGGGAACACUUGGGCUGGCGCGCGCGGUAAAAUGGGGAGAUGGGCCGAACUGAGGUUGAGCCGGCCCAAGCGGCAUUUUAACCUUUUCCUUUUUCUUUUCUUUAUUCCUUUCACUUUUCUUUUUCAAAUUUAAAUUUUCAUUUCACCUUUUAGAUUUCAAAUUCAAAUUUGAAUUUCAGUUAUGGAUUUGUACUUAUAUCGAAUGUGCCAAUUUACAUUCGGAGUUGAAGAGAAUAUAUCUAUGUGUAAAUUUAUUCCCUAUGUUUUAUGUGGUAUUUCUUUUCUUUUCAAAACCCUAUUUUCAAGUUUAGGGUUUAAUUCAACUUCUAGUAAUUAUUAUCUUAUUAUCAUUAUUAUUUUAUUGAUGUGCAAUCAUAUAAAACUCCAACUUGAUGCAUGUCCCUUUUAUUUCGGUAUCCUUUGUUUCGAUUCAUCAUUAAAUUUUAUGUAGGCUCUUUGAAGAUGCAAAUGAGGCACACAAAAUUGAGGAGAUCUCUCUAUUAUUCUUUGUAUACAACUUUGAGUAUUACACAUGGAAAUGCAGGUAGACAUGGAGCCCUUUCCAGUGAACAUGAUCGACUUCGUGGGCAAAAAGGUCAUAAUUCGGUCUAGCACAACCAAUAAGGAAAAGGGCCAAGAUGUCAUCAUCGACAACGCACGGGAGGCCAAUGAAGGUAAUAAAGUUUCCUGCAGGAAAGUAGUGGCGGAAAAGACUCCUGAUGGAGGGGAGACCCUGAAGGUGACCAUCACAACCUCCGUCACUAGGGGGCAAGCACAGACAAAGGGACAAGCGCGGGAACCCGUGCUGCGCAUCACGGACGGUCUGGCAUCCAGACGCGGACGAUCCGAAGCUUCUCCGGACGGUCCAAAACAUUCCAUCGAACGGUCCAGCUACACUCAAGACUCACAACGACCACGUACAUUCAAACCACGAUGACCAGAGAUAGGUACAUGGAAAACAAAUACAUUUAAAGCAGUUGGUCGGCUGGUCAAAACCGGCCCGACCUUCGUUCAA